CUCUGGCUACCCUACUAAUGCGCAAUCAUAUAUUUCUGCACGAGAACUUUAGGGGUAAUUCACGUACACGUACAAAUUAAAGUCACGGAAAAGAAUGAUUGAGCAGAUUUCUGUAAGAGGUGUGGUGUGAGGAUUGUAUUAUCAUUGUUUUGAUCCAGAAGUUGUUGUAUGAAUAAUCUUUACAAUAUAACUUCUCUUUGCGCAGUUAACUUGCUUGAGAUCCAGUUAUCGAGUUAACAUGAGAACCUUUGUUAACUUUUUUGCCUUUUACCUCGUGAAAAUGUUUGGUGUGAAUGAAAGGAUUAUGUAGCAAGUAUCAGAAAAAAUAACUGAUUAAAGAUUUUGAUGAGCGGCAUAUCUGAACUUCUAGUGAGAAAAACUACGGUGUUUGUUUUCCUGCAUCAGAAAAGGAUCACUACGAGUAUGCCUGAAAAAGAAGGGAACAGUUCAACGUGUUUCAUCAACUUUCCUUUCGUUACUGAGAUCAAACAAGAAUUGACACUAAAUUUUCACUGAGAAAAUAAAGGACUGAUGUGACAUCAAAAAUGGUGUAAUGGUGUAAACAACAGAGAACUCAAUAAUAACAGUUUUAAUAACUGUAAUCUAUAAAGUUUUUGAUGAGGAGUUUUAUUUAUCCUCCUUAAAAAACCGUACACGUCGACAAGCACUGUGCUACUUUUUCGCGAUUUUUCCUGCCGAUAUAAGUUUACUGUGAGUUAAAUGACAUUCCUGUUAUUUUAUUCACAGCAAGAUAUUUUCUCCCAAUUAUUUAAAAUAAUGAGAUUAUUUUUUUAACGAAAUCGAGCCAUUCUUUUUUCUUAGAUUAUUGAGAUUGAAUCCAAGUUUUAGAAAAUAAAAAUUCAAACAGAAUUCCUAAAUAAAAUUUUAUUGAAUUAAAAGAAAAUGCAUAGAAUUCCUUUUGGAACUCACACAAAAUUAAAAAAAAACAUAGUUAUGAUUUUUUAAAGCAUAAGUAAACCCAUUUGUAAUUUACAAAGUUCACCUUUUUUGUUUGUCUGAUAUCAUGAAAAUGUUUUAUUUAAAAAAGGAGAAAUGAAUCUUUUCUCUCUACGACGAAUCUUUUUCUUACAGCUACGAUCAGCAUUCAUUUGUUCAAGAUAUUAAUGAAAAUUCCAAUACGUAGAAAAAAUAUUAUUUUGUACUCUAUUCUUGUUAAAAAGAAAAUGGGAAAAAAAAGAAAAUCAUUAAAUGGAACAAAUUAUAUUGCAUUAAACUUUAAAUAUACUCUAUGAAAUAAAUAAACUUUCUAGUUAUUAAUAAUUCACGAAAGAAAUUCUAAACCAAUUUAAUUUGAUGUUGAAAUAUUCUCUAAAGCAAUUUGACUGAACUGUUUGGAACAAUUCAAUUAAAUAAUAAAGCCUACAUUAAAAAGGAUGAGAAAGAAUCUAUGAAACUAUUCUAUGUAUCAUACAUAUGCCCAUAACGUUUAGAAUCACUCUAAUUGUUUCCCAUAUUAUGCCUUGAUGUUUCUUUUCAUAAUUUGUACAAUAUGUUAUCAAGAAGCAUUUGUACUGUCGUAUAAUGUGUGUUAUUUCACGACUGUAUUUAUGAAUUUAUUUGAAUAAAUACUUGAAAAUGUUUUUGAUACGAAA